rnacentral:tmRNA from 1 species
GGGGCUGAACGGUUUCGACUUCGCGCAUCGAAUCAAGGGAAGCGUGCCGGUGCAGGCAAGAGACCACCGUAAGCGUCGUUGCGACCAAAUAAGCGCCGAUUCACAUCAGCGCGACUACGCUCUCGCUGCCUAAGCGACGGCUAGUCUGUCAGACCGGGAACGCCCUCGUCCCGGACCCUGGCAUCAGCUAGAGGGAUCCACCGAUGAGUCCGGUCGCGGGACUCCUCGGGACAACCACAGCGACUGGGAUCGUCAUCUCGGCUAGUUCGCGUGACCGGGAGAUCCGAGCAGAGGCAUAGCGAACUGCGCACGGAGAAGCCUUGAGGGAAUGCCGUAGGACCCGGGUUCGAUUCCCGGCAGCUCCACCG